GAACCUGCGGAGGGAUCAUUACCGAGUUUACAACUCCCAAACCCAAUGUGAACCAUACCAAACUGUUGCCUCGGCGGGGUCACGCCCCGGGUGCGUCGCAGCCCCGGAACCAGGCGCCCGCCGGAGGGACCAACCAAACUCUUUCUGUAGUCCCCUCGCGGACGUUAUUUCUUACAGCUCUGAGCAAAAAUUCAAAAUGAAUCAAAACUUUCAACAACGGAUCUCUUGGUUCUGGCAUCGAUGAAGAACGCAGCGAAAUGCGAUAAGUAAUGUGAAUUGCAGAAUUCAGUGAAUCAUCGAAUCUUUGAACGCACAUUGCGCCCGCCAGUAUUCUGGCGGGCAUGCCUGUCCGAGCGUCAUUUCAACCCUCGAACCCCUCCGGGGGGUCGGCGUUGGGGAUCGGGAACCCCUAAGACGGGAUCCCGGCCCCGAAAUACAGUGGCGGUCUCGCCGCAGCCUCUCCUGCGCAGUAGUUUGCACAACUCGCACCGGGAGCGCGGCGCGUCCACGUCCGUAAAACACCCAACUUCUGAAAUGUUGACCUCGGAUCAGGUAGGAAUACCCGCUGAACUUAAGCAUAUCAAUA
rnacentral:rRNA from 1 species